GCCGAGAUAGCUCAGUGGUAGAGCAGCUGAUUCGUAAUCAGCAGGUCGUCGGUUCGACUCCGAUUCUCGGCU
rnacentral:tRNA from 1 species